rnacentral:rRNA from 1 species
UACGUAGGGUGCAAGCGUUGUCCGGAAUUAUUGGGCGUAAAGAGCUCGUAGGCGGCUUGUCGCGUCGGCUGUGAAAACCUGGGGCUCAACUCCGGGCUUGCAGCCGAUACGGGCAAGCUAGAGUUCGGUAGGGGAGACUGGAAUUCCUGGUGUAGCGGUGGAAAUGCGCAGAUAUCAGGAGGAACACCAGUGGCGAAGGCGGCAC